rnacentral:rRNA from 1 species
GUAGGUGGCAAGCGUUGUCCGGAAUUAUUGGGCGUAAAGCGCGCGCAGGCGGUUCUUUAAGUCUGAUGUGAAAGCCCACGGCUCAACCGUGGAGGGUCAUUGGAAACUGGAGAACUUGAGUACAGAAGAGGAAAGCGGAAUUCCACGUGUAGCGGUGAAAUGCGUGGAGAUGUGGAGGAACACCAGUGGCGAAGGCGGCUUUCUGGUCUGUAACUGACGCUGAGGCGCGAAAGCGUGGGGAGCAAACAGGAUUAGAUACCCUGGUAGUCCACGCCGUAAACGAUGAGUGCUAAGUGUUAGGGGGGUUUUCCGCCCCCCUUAGUGCUGCAGCUAACGCAUUAAGCACUCCGCCUGGGAGUACGGCCGCAAGGCUG